UAGAGUUUGAUCCUGGCUCAGAUUGAACGCUGGCGGCGUGCCUAACACAUGCAAGUCGAGCGGUAGCAGGUGUAGCAAUACAUGCUGACGAGCGGCGGACGGGUGAGUAACGCUUGGGAAUCUGCCUAUUAGUGGGGGACAACCCGGGGAAACUCGGGCUAAUACCGCAUACGCUCUACGGAGGAAAGCCGGGGACCGCAAGGCCUGGCGCUAAUAGAUGAGCCCAAGUCGGAUUAGCUAGUUGGUAGGGUAAUGGCCUACCAAGGCGACGAUCCGUAACUGGUCUGAGAGGACGACCAGUCACACCGGAACUGAGACACGGUCCGGACUCCUACGGGAGGCAGCAGUGGGGAAUAUUGGACAAUGGGCGAAAGCCUGAUCCAGCGACGCCGCGUGGGUGAAGAAGGCCUGCGGGUUGUAAAGCCCUUUCGGUAGGGAAGAAAAGUCUCGACCUAACACGUCGGGACCUUGACGUAACCUACUAAAGAAGCACCGGCUAACUCUGUGCCAGCAGCCGCGGUAAUACAGAGGGUGCGAGCGUUAAUCGGAAUUACUGGGCGUAAAGCGCGUGUAGGCGGCUUUGCAAGUCGGGUGUGAAAUCCCCAAGCUCAACUUGGGAACUGCAUCCGAGACUGCAUUGCUAGAGUAUGGGAGA
rnacentral:rRNA from 1 species